CUUGGUGGCAUUAGCGCGAUAGUACCACCUGAUGACCAUUCCGAACUCAGAAGUGAAAUGUCGUGGUACCGAUGGUAGUGUGAGGAUUCCUCAUGUGAGAGUAGGGGGCUGCCAAGU
rnacentral:rRNA from 1 species